rnacentral:lncRNA from 1 species
GCUUGUGAAACAGCUCUCUGCAUUAUUGAGCUGAUUCCUCUCCAUUUUUUUUCUUCUUCAGAAACUGAAGCCCACUGAUAAGAAUCUGAUCUCAGCUUUUCUCUCUGGUUGGAGAAGCCUUCAAUGGCUAAGCAAAAAUGAAGAGCAGAAUGUCCAGACCAAGGUUACUGAAUUAUUUUCCACCCUAGUCUGAAAAGGAGGAAUUUGUUUUCUCUUUUUCUCAUCAUCAGCCCUGGUCCUUUGGGG